UGAGGGAAUAUUGGGUCAAUGGGCGGGAGCCUGAACCAGCCAAGUAGCGUGAAGGAUGACUGCCCUAUGGGUUGUAAACUUCUUUUAUAAGGGAAUAAAGUGUCCCACGUGUGGGAUUUUGCAUGUACCUUAUGAAUAAGCAUCGGCUAAUUCCGUGCCAGCAGCCGCGGUAAUACGGAAGAUGCGAGCGUUAUCCGGAUUUAUUGGGUUUAAAGGGAGCGUAGGCGGGAGGUUAAGUCAGUUGUGAAAGUCUGCGGCUCAACCGUAGAAUUGCAGUUGAUACUGUCCUUCUUGAGUGCGGCAGAGGCAGGCGGAAUUCGUGGUGUAGCGGUGAAAUGCUUAGAUAUCACGAAGAACCCCGAUUGCGAAGGCAGCCUGCUGGACCGUAACUGACGCUGAUGCUC
rnacentral:rRNA from 1 species